rfam:Paxillus involutus ATCC 200175 unplaced genomic scaffold PAXINscaffold_5, whole genome shotgun sequence.
GUCACUUUGCCGGAGUGGUUAACGGGAUCGCCUGCUAUACAGCAAAGAGCGGUUGGUCUUUGACCGCGAGUGUUCGAAUCGCUCAGGUGACG